rnacentral:rRNA from 1 species
UACGUAGGGGGCAAGCGUUGUCCGGAUUUAUUGGGCGUAAAGAGCGUGUAGGCGGCCAGGUAGGCCCGUUGUGAAAACUCGAGGCUCAACCUCGAGACGUCGGCGGAAACCCUCUGGCUAGAGUCCGGAAGAGGAGAGUGGAAUUCCCGGUGUAGCGGUGAAAUGCGCAGAUAUCGGGAAGAACACCCGUGGCGAAGGCGGCUCUCUGGGACGGUACUGACGCUGAGACGCGAAAGCGUGGGGAGCGAACAGG